CAAAGCAACUCCUACUAAGGAAGCCCAUUCAGAAGCUGACUGGACAUUCUGGCAGGCCGAGGAUGGAGACUCUCCUGAAAGUGCUUUCAGGCACCUUGUUGUGGCAGUUGACCUGUACCCACAGCUUGUCAAUAGAAAGACAGCA